GGAGAGAUGCCCGAGUGGACGAAGGGGGCUGACUCGAAAUCAGCUGUUCCGGCUCAAACCGGAACCGAGGGUUCGAAUCCCUCUCUCUCCGCCA
rnacentral:tRNA from 1 species